rnacentral:rRNA from 1 species
UACGUAGGGGGCGAGCGUUGUCCGGAGUUACUGGGCGUAAAGCGCACGCAGGCGGUCUGCUAAGUUUGGAGUGACAGUUGGUGGCUUAACUGCCAAAGUGCUUCGAAAACUGACAGACUUGAGGGCUUCAGAGGGACACGGAAUUCCGGGUGGAGUGGUGAAAUGCGUAGAGAUCCGGAGGAACACCAAAGGCGAAGGCAGCAUCCUGGGAAGUUCCUGACGCUCGGGUGCGAAAGCCAGGGGAGCGAACGGG